AAGUCGUAACAAGGUUUCCGUAGGUGAACCUGCGGAAGGAUCAUUAAUUGUUCUUUUCAAGAGGCUCCGUUAAUCUGUAUACUCUCUCCCGAGUGAUGAGCAGUAGGGCCUCUGUUUAGACCCUUGUCUUUUGCGCACUCAUGUUUCCUCGGUGGGCUUGCCUGCCGAUUGGACAAAAACUAUAACCUUUUUUAAUUUUCAAUCAGCGUCUGAAAACAAUAUAAUAAUUACAACUUUCAACAACGGAUCUCUUGGUUCUG
rnacentral:misc_RNA from 1 species